GAACACGCCGCUCCGUACAAAUGAACACGAUGAAGCGUUGUGCGGAGC
rfam:Paenibacillus macerans strain 8244 genomic scaffold scaffold1, whole genome shotgun sequence.